AAAAAGGCAAAAUGUAUAUAAAUUCACGUUACUUGUUUUCUGUUGAAUCUUUUCUCAAAUAUAAAAAAUUGGAUGCCCUAAUUUGAUAAAAAGAAAAUUAUUCCUAACUUUGGGGAAAGUGUUAAAUGUAUGAGAACUUAUUUCAGUGCUGGAGGAGAAUAGAAAGGGGUAGGUGAUAACUGGGAGCAGGCUAGUCAGGAAAACUUUUACGUGGGAGCAGAGCCUUGAAGAGCAAGUAAAAUUGGGUAGGUGGCGAGCCUGAGCAUGAUGUAUUUCAGUGACGGUAAGGAAACUGGCUGACUAGGCCAGUGGGUUCUUCUUUGUCAGUGGCGUGAAACAAACUUGGGGAGGUACUUUAUGGUCUGCAGAUUAUAGAAGGCCUCCUGAGCUUUUGUACAAAACAAGUGUACAAAAAUCAGUGGCCAUCCAAAUCUAAUUAAUGACCACUUAAAAAUCUAAAGAAAUCAUUUACAGUAGUAACAAAAAGCAUUUCUAGAAAUAACCUUAAUAAGAAAUGUAAAUGCCCCAUUUGAAGAAAACUUCCCAGUUUUGUAGAGAGAUAUAGAAAACUUGAAUAAAUAGAAACACAUAUUGUGUAUGUGGAAGGGAAGAAGUGUUAGAAAGACAUCAGUUAUUCCUAAAUUAAUUUGUAGAUUUAGUGCAGCUUUAUUCCAAAUUCCAGCAGAAAGUAGUUCUGAAAUUUAUCUAGAAAAGAAGAUGAGUGAAAAUAGCUAAUUAAUUUUUGAAGAAAAGUGGAAGGGUGUGUGUUGGGGUGGGUGUACUAGCCUUACCAAAUAUUAAAACAUUUUGAACCCAAAAAAUAAUAUAUGCGUAUAUGGAUCAAUCAGUGAAGCCUGUUAGGCCAGGUGUGUAUGUGUGUGUAACUCUUGUUUAGGGAGGUAUUGUAAAUCAGUCAGAAAAAGAAGGUUUAUUCAGUGAUUUGGGGAUAAUUGGUUAGCACUUUGGAAAGAAAGGCUUUUUUUUUUUUUUAGGUCCUUGUCUUUUACUGUACAUACAUUAAAGUAAAUUUUUACAUGGACUAAAGAUUUAAUUGUAAAAGCAAAACUGAAGAAAAUGAAAAUGUAUAUGAAAUAUUGACCUAUCUUCUAGAAGUGGGAGGUCUUUCUGAGUUUAAAAAUUAGCAGCAGUAAUCUUAAUAACGGUGUUGAUUUUGAUGAUAGCAGCUAUCACAAGUACUUUACAUAGAGACACUAUAGCAUUAUUCCCAAGUACAAGAAAUUAUUAGGUAAAUAUGGCAUAGUGAAGAGUUUGUCAUGACAUGAGAAGAAUUGCUCAUAUUAAAAAAUACUACCAAAACCAGUUACAAUUAAAACUAUAUAUACAAAAUCAAAAAACUGUAGGCAUGGACAUAGUGAUUAGAAGGAAACUGGCUGACUAGGCCAGUGGGUGCUGGCCUACAUUUUAGUGUAUGUAAAAUGCUAACAAUGGCUAUAUCUGGCUGAUGAGACUAUGGGUGAUUUAUUUUUCUGCUUCUAUCUUCCUGAAUUUCUCUAAUGAACACAUAUUACUCUUGAAAUGAGAAGCAAAACAGAAUAAGUAAAACUCUAGGCAGAUGAGUUUUUAUUUGCUGUGGGAGGAAUGGAAAAGAAUAUCUUUUGAUUGGAAAAAUGUCAUGAAUAAGCAGUAUCUAAUUAUAUAUUAAAUGUACAAUGGAGGGGGCCCCUCUUUAAAGGAAGUCUGUGGUAAAUCUUUUGUAAAGGGAGUAAUUUUCCUGUAACUCAGCUGGAUUUUCAAUUCAGACUUUCUUAACCUGUACAGGAAAAUCAUCCACAAGUGUUUCAUUGAUGUCUUAGCUUUCUGGUUGUCAUUCUAAAAAAUAAUAAAUGGUAAUAAUAGCUACCACUCGUAGAGCACCUACUCUACCUGGCACUCUGCUAAAAGCUUUGUAAUUUGGUUGACUAUCCUUGCAAGUUAGGUUCCUUUACUCAUAAAGAAACCAAGGUGUCCUGCCCGAGAUGAUGUAACAUUGAUGAGCUUGUGCCGUAUUCCUGGGAUCGCCUGCCACCUCUCCAGGUUCUGUGGAUGCAGGGCUAUGUGCAUGCGGAGUGCUGUCCUGGGACUUUGGAGCUGGACUUCACUUUGUAUGGCACAGGUCAGAUCUCUGGUGAUUUUCUCCUUGGCAUGUUGUCAUAUCAUCUACUGUCUUUAGGAGCAUAUUUUGCUACAUAAAUCACAGGUAUUUGAAAAUGCCUGACUAGCUUUUGGGGAAAUACAGCUGCCUCCAAAUCAAACUCUUUUUUUAGUCAACAAUUACUAGUAACUGUGUAUUUUUUAGAGGUAGUGUUGAGGUAUGUUUUUGGGAAAAUGGAAAAAGGGUUGUAGUUUUAGUUAGUAAAAUCAUUGAGAAGGAAGGAGACCCAAUUUAUACAUUAUAUCCAUCUGAAAAAGUAUAAUUCCCUUUUCUGUCAUUGGGACACUAGUUUGUUAUUUAUUUGUUCAUUCAACAGUCAGUCCCGUGAAGAACUCGAGCUGAGAUGAUUUUUCAGAAUUGCUCAGGUGAGGCAAGGGGCCAGGCCUUUAAAAACGUUGGUCAGUCAUCAGAAGAGGGCUUCACCAGGGAAAGGCCUUUGAGUUGGGUGACAUAGCUUCCUUCUGCUGAGGACAGUGCCUGAGAGAGACUCAGCUGUGAGCCAUCAGCAGGCAAUUCUUCUGGAUGUUGGGGGAAUGAGGGCCUUCAUCCUGAAGGCACAGCUCUGCCAUACUACCCUUUAGGGUUGUUGUGAGGACUGAAUGAGGUAUUUCAUGUAAAGCUGCCAGCAUUGUAUCUGGUACAUUAGAGAUACUCAUUAAAUGGCGACUACUUUAUUAUCAGCUUAUAUUUUUUGAGUAUCUGCCCAUAAGUAUAAGGAAGGCACUUAGAUUGCUCUUUGGGCUGGGAAGAUGAAUGAGACUUUCAUUUUGGUCAUUAAUAUGCUAACAAUCUAGAAGAGGGCAUUCAUUCAUUCAACAAAUAUUUAUUGAGCAUCUGCUAUACGCUAUGUACUGUUUUUGACCCUGGGGAUAGAGCAAAGGUAAGACAGACCAAAAUCUCUGCUUUCAUGGAGAGUAUAUUUUAAUGGGAAACUUACAGUAAACAAGUAAACGGAUUCAAAAAUACUUGUGUCAGGUAGUGAUAAGUAAACUCAUAAGGCAUACUCAUAAUUAUAGAAGUUUUCACAAGAGGAACUUUGAUCAUUUAGAUAGCAGAGAGAUUACUUCGGGGUAAGGUUGAGGGGAGGCUUCAUGGAAGAGGUGACAUUUAGGUGGGCCUCCCAGAUUUUCCACAUGUGGAAUGGAGAGAGGAGAUGCAGGACUGAACACAUGACGAAGACUCUAGGAGUGGGAAAGCACAGGAUGGUAAAAUCUGAGGAAAGCUGAGUUUAACUGGAAGGAGUGUGAAAAGUAGGUAAUGGGGUGUGCCAGGUAUUACCCCUCGGCCCCUACAGAUCUACUCUCUAUCCUUUCCACUCUGCUCCUGCGUCAGCAGGCCGAUCUUUAUGGAGUGCGUGACUGGGUGUCCUUGUUCUCUGGCUUCUGAUUGGAUGCAGCCAGUUCGAGGCUCCAGCAGGAGACUGGAGGGCUGGAAGAAGCAGGAGUUGGUUUGGGAACUGGGUAAAGGCUUUGCAUCCACAAUCUAUUACUUAGAUUACGUGUCUUCCCACCAGCCCUAGAAUUUUUUACCUGUGUAUGUCAGGCAUCCCAUGGGUUAGGAUGGCUUUAGCCAGUAGGCUGGUACCAGCCAUCAAUAGACAGGAUUGUACUGUAGCCCCACUCAGGGGUGACCCUGAAAGAUAGUGACAAAGGGAAUUCCUCCCCGUGGAUAGAACUUUGGACAUUUCAUCUUUGCCUUUUUAUUUAAGGUGGCUUUUAAAGGCGAUAUGUUUCUCUCUGUCUCUCUCUCAACUUUACAAUGGGGUAAUGUCAAAAAUUUUAGGCUCAAACAGAUUUUCUCUUAGUGAUGUGGCAGUUCAUACUUUUCUUCCAAAUAUGACCUGAAGGAUUAGAGGUGGUAAAUGGUCUUGUGGCACUUUGACUAUAAAUCUGAACUGGAAUGGAAUCUGUAACCCAUUAUCAGAUUCUGAAUCAGGCUGCCUUGUCUUUCUCCUGUUUUUGUUUCAGUGAAAAUGUGUGUUUUUAUUCUGUCAGUGGAUGGUUUACAUACCUAAUAUACCUAAUAUUAAAAGGGAAUUAUAUAAUGAAUACUUGAUGUGAAAGGGACUAGUUAAAUACUUCAACUCCAAAGGAUUCCAUUAAAGUAAUAAGGAAAUUACAUUUAAUUUUAAAUGGUAGAAAGAUUUUUUUAAUGUUAUUGCUAUUAAGCAUGUAUUACACACACUCAAGCCAUUUUCUGCAAAUGAAUUUCCAAAGCACAAUUCAUCUUUUUACAGGUGGAGAGGAAAUAUUCUUGCAAAAUAUAGUUUGAUGUUGUCUUCUUAACUGCGGAGAGAAGCAUACUUUUCCAAAGAAUAGAAUGUGAUGGUUGAUUGGAAACUUUUGGAGUUACGGGCUUUUAGCUCUACCUCUUGAAAUAAGAAAAUAUAUAUAAAUGGGUCCCCAGAUGAAGGCGUGGUGGGGUACUUUAUAGCCCUAAUUGACUCCAGACAUAGAGGCCGUGAUUUGCAAGCAAGCAGUGACAAGAGGAAGUUAAAUCAAAAUUAAAUUAAGGGAAGGAAGAAAAAAAAAGAGAGAUAUUAAGGAGAGGUGAUGAAUCUUCUGAAGGCGUCUAAAUACUUAUCUGUAGGUAAGUGAGAAAUCUGUGAAUAUAUCUCAGUUAUGUCAAAGGAUGAAAUCUGGAAACAUUUCAGUCCUAAAAAAGACCUUCUCUCUUUUAUAAAGUCUUUUUUGUAUUCAUUGCUUGGUACAGUUCAGUCAGUACACGCAUAUUUGCUUCUAUACUUUUCCAUGACUCAACUGGCAGUAAAAUCAGCAUCUCCCAUGAUACACAUCAGGUGAUAUUUUGGGAGAAUUGGUUUUUCUGUUUAUAUUUUGACUAUUUGAUUUUGUUCAGCUCAUGUAAAUACAGUUCUGGGAAUCAGAAUUGAUUCCGGCCACUCAGCCAUGCUGACCGCCAUUUCUGCACUUGUCUCAGUUUCCCUUUUGUUGGCCUCCCCUGUCCAGUGAGUUCUCAGGCCCAAGAGAACAGGGACUGUGUCCCACUCCCCAUCACAGCACAGAUGAAGUGCAGCAUUCAGCACAUAUUUGUGAAGUUAAUCUGUGCCUUGUGCUUCCUCUCUUUCUCAUCCAGCCCACUGCUACCAUGCGUGCUCAUCCCUCACCAUCUUGAGCCUGAGUUGAUGAAACAGCACUGAGCGCUCCCCGCCCCCACCCCCCACUCAGAGCCAAGCCACUGUGCCGAAAAUGCGGCUUUCCUCAUGUUCCUGUGCUCAGAACUGCCUGGGCUCAGUACUGCCCAUUCCUCACACAGUGAAUUCUGUUAUUUGGCUGGUCUUCAAAGGUCUUUAUAAAGGUAGCCCUACCCACUUUUCCAGUGUUGCAUCCCACACUUCCCUGGAUCAUCCUACCAGCUUUAACCAAGCUGCUCUUUUCACAAACUCCUCUGCUUUCUUGUCUCCUUGUUUGGCUCUUGCUAUUUCUCUUGCCUGGACAGCUCGCUCCCCUUCACUUACUCAAAUUCUACCCAUCCUUAAAGGGUAGAAGUUUAAUCUCUUCUGAAUUCAAAGCACUUGCUGUCUGUAUUACUCAUUAAGCCAGCAACUAUGUGUGGCUUAUGACAGCCUUUGCAUUAUUGUUUGGUGGUGUUAUUAUUCUUACUUUUUGAAGAUCUGAUUGGCUUUAUUCAGUGAUUUAUGAGUCAAGCAGUAUCCCAUCUAGCAAAGAGAUAGGCACUCACGUGUUGUUAUUUAAUGAUUGCAUUGUUGCUUAGCUUUCCAAGUGCUGUUUUCUUCCAAACUAUAUUAUUUAUCUUUGAGCAUGGGAGAUGGAACAGGAAAGGGCGAGAGUGAUUUGAUGUUUUUUACAUAUUUCCCUCACUGGCUUUGGUAGCUAGUGCUGCAGCCGUUACACAGGACAGUCACCACGUCUUACUCAUGUUUCCCUUCCCAGUUCCCAGCCCUGUGCCUGGUCCAUAGUGGCGAUUCAGUACAUGGUAUGUGACUAAAUAAAUAGAAGGCGUUCUCAAAUAUUUGUUUACUAGUUUGACCCAAAGCUAAAAGAAUCAACAUGGGUGAUUUUCCAACUUCUAAAAGCCAUAAAAAUCCAGUUUCUCAUUUAGCUUUUUUUCACCAUUAACAGUUCUCCCUCGAGCACUUCUUCCUUUUGCCUGCCUUCAGCUUCAUGCUGAAAUAUAAAUCAAUUUCCUCUAAUUCUUUUCCCUGUGAAAUUGGAGAACAGCUGUUCAGUCACCUCCUUAUAAAUAACCCUUCAACAAGUUAAAUUGCCUCUAGGAUUUGCUUUCUCCAGAUUAAAUUAUCCCAAAGCCCUUUCUUUUUCUCAUAAAGGCCUUUUCAGAAAGAAGUGUUAGUUGUUUUUUUAAUUUCUUUUUCUAGCUCUUUAUAAAACUUUAUUCUUUUCAUAAAUGUACCAUAGAAUACCCCUAUAAAGGCCUGAUUAAUGCUGCCUGGAAAGGAAGGCAUCUUGAAUCUCCUCAUUUGUGUUUUGGAGUAUCCUGUUAACCUUUUUUACCUGUUGCCUGUCGGAUUUAACUUGUGGUCUACUCUCACCCUCUCCUUGUUUUGUUUCCUUUUUCUGUGCAUUUCUUCAAAUGAGUAGCUUGAUUUUCUUCCCACAAAACACUAACUUGCUGUAUCAGGAGUCUUACAAUUACAAGUUACAGAGACCCAAUGUGAAUUAGCUUAAAUGAUUAAGGGAAUUUAUUGAUUUAUGUCACUGAAAAGUCUAGUAAUAGGACUUAACCUCCAGCACGGCUGGACCCAGGGGACAAAACAGUGUCACCAAAAGCCUUUUUUCUCACUCCCUAUGAUCUGCCUUCGUGGUAUUAGCAUCUCCCUUAAGGUACCUCCAAGCUCUGCUUCAUGGUAGCUGUAGAGCUGCAGCAUGUGCAGACCUUACUUGCCAUACUACCCCAUCCAGAGGAAGAGAGAGGUGCUUUCCUCAGAGUACCCACCAGCAUCUUGGAACUGAGGCAGAUGCCUCUCCUUAAACCCAACUCCAGAGGUCUGCUUAGGACCCAGCUCUUCAAAUAGAACAGUGUCACACAUGGCUGAGAAUAGGGAAGGAAUGAUUUCCAAAGGAAAUUUGGGGAGCUGUUCCCAGGAGGAGGGCAAUGGAUGUGAGUGGCCAACAAUAGAUGUACGUUACACUCAAAAUUGUGCUUCUUCAUUCUGCCUUAGACAGAUUAUUGAUAUUGCUUUGCACUGAGGGUAUCUCUGCGAAUGAAUUCUUCACUCAGUCACUCACUCAGUCACUCACUCUCUCAUUCUUCAUUGAACACUCUGGAUAGAGUAUGCCAGGCACGCAACUAGGUAUUGGGUAUACAAACGUGAGUGAGGCAAUAUCCCUGACCAGGAGAAACUCAUAGUCUAGUGAAAAGACAGACUAAUAGGCAGAUAGUUAAAGCAUGUUGUAAUAAGUGCUGUUAUCAAAGUAUAUAUGGACACAGAGGUAGAAGUGAAGAACUCAGUGGGAGGGGCUUGAAGCAGGGAGGGCUUCACAGGAGAGCUGAGCCUUGACGGGUAGAAGGGAUUUCCCUAGAUUGGGGAAGGAAGAGCAUUAUCCUCAAAGCCAUGGUGAACCAUAAAACGUUUUCAGCAGGGGACUGGCAGGAUCAGGUAUGGAUUUUAGAAAGAUCAUUCUGCUGGCCAUUGGUAAACCUAGUGGAGGUGAGAAGGACUGGCGGUGAGGAGGAGGAUCCAUCGACUGUUGCAGUAAAUGACAUCUGAGUGAAGACCCCGUGCACUGAGCCAGGGACCAUAGAGACAGAGGGCAGAUUUAAGAUAUAUUGACAGGAUUUGGGACUUGUUAGAUGUAGGAGAUGAAAAUCAAUUGUUCUAGAUGAAUUCAAGGUUUCAGUUGUGGGUGACUAGAUGAGUCUGGUUCAGUUCAAGAUGAGUUCAUCUUUGUGGUUAUUUGAGGUGCCUGUUGAACACCCACCCAAGGGAUUCAUGUUUAUCAGGCCGUGGUAGAUACAGAAGUGGACCUCAGGAAAGGUUUCUGAGCCAGAGACAUAGACAGGGAGACAUCGGAGUAUAGGUUGAAGCCUUGAGGAAGGAGUGAGGUUACCCAAGGGGAAUUUCAAAUGAGAAGAAAAGAGGGCCUGGGAAUGGGGAAUGGCAACAUUUGAGAGGCUGGUAGAGGAGAAGGAGAAGGAGGCUGUGGAGGAGUUAGGCAGGCAUCUGGGUCCCUCCAGAUAAUAGACCUCUUCUCAUCUUGAUAAAGGCAGUGUCACCUGGGAGGUUGGUGGCAUGGUGGUUAAUUAAGAGCAUGGACUCUGGGCUUUACUACCUACUGGUGUGUGACUUGUGGGCAAAUUACUUAACUUCAUUUCCUGAUCUAUGGGAUGGGAAUUAGGUAGUACCUAAUUUUGGAGGAUUAAAUGAGCAAAGCGCUUUGAAAGUGCUUGGCACAUAGGAAAUGUUAUAAAGUGUUUGAUAAAUAAACAUGGAAACCAAUAAAUGCAUGUGCCCUGCAUUUGUGCAUCUGUCUGUCUCUCUGAGCUUACAUAUCCACUGGCCAGUUAAUCUGAAAUCCAAAAUUAGUUUGUUUGGACUUAAAUAAUUUAUUCUUCUGAAAACUCUAGUGAUUCCAGUGUAACAGUUUAAGUGUCUGACUUCCUGAAGAUUUUCUGGAUUAUUUAUUGGAUUAUUUUUUCUACUGGCUAUUAAUUUUACCUCUGACUUUGAUGUACUUUUCUUUGUUUCUUCCAUACUUCAUAUAUUUUAAAAUUGUUCUUAAUAACCUCACAGCAUACAGCUUUCUCUUCUCUUUUUUUUUUUUUUUUUUUUAAGAUUUUCUUCCUCGGAAUCAUUCUUAAAGUUCUGGAAUGCUCUGUCAGUUGCUCCCCCGCAUUUUGGUCAGUUUCUGGCAUGUUACUUUUAAUCAGGCUACUUUUUUCAUCCAUCUGUAGGAAUUGGCAAUAUUUUCAAUUCCUCUCCAUUAUGGUCAGGAAUAUGAACUUGCUGUCUUUUCUUCUUCCUUUUGCAUUUUCCCAAGUAUGUGUCUUGAACCACUGAUUAGAUCUACGUGCCCACAAUAACAUAAGCAGGCACAAAGCUUAAAUCUGAUUUAAAGGAGUAUUGUACAGUUUGUUCCUCCAUUAAAGUCUAGAUUAAAAUAGAACAGUAUUCAGGGUGUGAGUUUGUCAUGGAAUCUCUAACACUCGUUGAAUCAGACAUCGUGUGUGUUCGUUUUUAAAUAACUGGGUGGGUCACUUUUUUAUUUAUUAUGAACACAAACACUGAUGCUAACAACUGACAUGUGAAAGGAAAACAGGGAAUAGUGAUGAAAACCAUUUAAUGAUUAGUGAGGAAACAAAUAUUGUUUAAUGAAAAUAAAAACCAUGUCUAAAGGGCCUAAUGCUGACUUUUGGAAAUAUAACCAUGUUGCGGUCUGUUGUGUACCCUCUGUCCUGUACAGUAGAUAUUGUUUAAAAUUGCUUGGGAACUGGAGCUUGCAAUUGUGAGCCUGGAAUGUCCUGCAGAUAAUUAAGUUGUGGUCAGGCUUUGGAAAAAUAAAAAGUUCUCGAACUAUGAUUUUAUAAACAUGCUACAAUAACAUUUCUUUAUAUUUAACAGUUUCUUAUAGAAAGCUGAUACUCUCAUGAGGCAUUGAUUAAAGUGUUUGGAUCUUCUCAGCUGUUUCACAGAUAAUGAAUUUGGUUCUGUUCGGGAGAAGGGAGUACAUUGCCAGUGUUUGCAACGUUCAUUCUCUUAACCGCGAAGUUACUGAUUUGGGAAUGGAAGACACUCGUUGGUCCCUAGUGGUCUGAAAUGGAAAAUGCAUCUCCGGAAAAUUUCAUUUGAACUUUCCAUAAAGUUUAGCAUUUGAUUAGAAACAAAAAUGUUAAUAAUUUUAGGUAGGUUGAUUGGCUUAUUCAUAGUGUUCUUUGAGCUACAGUUGUAGUUACUUAUUUUCUUAAUCUCUUAUUGAAAGUAGAUGAACUACAUAUAAAAACUUGGGAACUAGAUUAGCACCUGUAUUUCAAGCCACUUAGGAAAUGGAGGAAAAUUCUGUAAAUGCUUGUAUAAGUGCUAAGUAGACUGAGAAAAAUCUGUCAGAAGUUUUCUCUUUGUCAUUUCUUUGUUAGCUUUAUCAUGCUUAAUUUUCAUGAAAAUAAUGUGUUUGUUACUGUGGUCGCACCGUGAUUUAGCUUUGGCUUGUGUAUGAUAUUUUAUUGUCCCUGUCCUGGAAAAUUAUAGCAGUUUUUAUGAGGAGUGGUUUGUGGGUUCACACAACCCACUUGGAGUGCCAUUUACCAUAAUUCUCUUCUAAAAGGACCAUAAAACAUCAUGUAAAUUGUUUAAAAAGGGAAAGGCCUUCUUUGAGAAAGGCUAAGAAGAAAUCUUUCCAGGCUUUCUUUUGUUUCUUAUAGUUUCAUGAUUUUAAGCUCUAUUUAAAGUAUUAAUGUUAAAGAAAUAAAGUGCACAUGUAUGUGAGUAAAGAUUGUUGUGAGCCAGAGCUGGGCUAAAACCAGGUAUUGAUGCAGAAUAAUAUGUAUCAAAUUCAUUAUAAUAUUUUAAAAUGUGUUUCCUGUGACUUUGGAAAUGAAAUUAAGGAAGAAAGGAAGAGAGAGAGGGAGGAAGGAAGGACGGAAGGAGGGAAGGAAGGAUGGAAUUAAUUCAUAGCAUGUAUAUCUUUUUAAGAAAACCCUUGUGUUCUCUUAACUAGUUGUUGUGUGUCUGUAGUCGACAUUAAGGCACAAUUUUUGGUAACCAGUCUUGUGAAACGCAUAUUUAAUUUCACAAACAGAUUUACCUAGAGAAACUUCCCCCCUUGGCCGUUUUACCAUUUCGGUUGGCUUGUGGCACUCAGUUUAUGUACACCCUUACGAAGAAAGCAUAGAAUAGCACAGUAACAAGGCCAAAGUUCUGUCAUGGUUUUCUGUACAAAUGCUUUAUUCCGAUAUUAUCUUGGUUUUGUGCAUGAGCUCGAUGGAGAGCAAGGACGGAAAUUGUUAAUAAUUUUCUACAGCAUUUACGUGGUACUCUGAGCUUCUAGUCACUUAAUACAGAUAUAUCUUAUGUUUAGGAAAUUUUAAUAAGAAAAUCCAUACAUAUGCAAAAUAUAAAAUAGAGGCCCCUGUUCGUUUUGCAUAAAGAUAUAACAAAUAUAUAAUAGAUUUAAUUUAAAAAACCACUUCCUUAGUACAUGUGAGGCUAUUAUAGUUGGAACAACAUUUAUGGGAACACUUACAAAUGAAAUGAUGAUAGCUCUGUUCAUGUAAAUAGUGAUAUAAACAUUUGUCUCUGCAAAAUUUUCUAUUCAAAUUAGUGUGUUUUAAAAAACCCAAGAUUAUCUGUGUGGUUUAGAAACUCCUUGGUUUUGUGACAAGAGGAGGUUACAAGUAGAUUAUAUUUAUGCAUCUUGAAGAGAGUGUCAGUAAAAUUGCUAAAUUUUCUUGAACAUGGCUGUAAAUCUUUGUCUAUAAAUACUUCCUAUUUGCAUGUGUAAUUUCAUGAAGAAUAUCAACUUAGGUUUUAUUAGGUGACUGUAAAUUCUCCUUUUCCAUGUGUGUUAAAACACACACAUGCACACAAAACCAACUUCCUAAAACAUAUCAAAACUUUUUAGAAUUAUUUCUUACUCUACACUUUUUUUUUUUUCUCCUGUUGAGGUGUUUCUGUACUAUCAGGAUCACAGAGUAGCCAACCGAAGUGAACUUGGGGAAUAGAAAAUGAAGGAGAUUUUAAAAAUAAACAGACGAGUCUAAUGUGACAUUGUGAAAGGUGGGAACGAGGUGAAGGCUGUCCUGCUGGGCCUGGAGCCUCUGUGCCGCUGGUACAGAACCGCCCUUGGCCUGAACCAGCUCUUCUCGGGGCUCGUUUGGUGGAGUUGGGAGCCCCUUUGACCAAGUCUUUAGCCUGAGAAUCUACUUUCUGUGGUUAAGUGUACUAAGCAGAGAAGACUUUUUGUGGUAUUUUAACUGAAGCUAUUGGUUAUGCCACAAAUUCUAUAAUUAAAAAUUUUGUGUCUAGCUCUGUUGACUAAAUUGUUUUAACAUGAGAUGUUUGGAAAUAGGAUAGGCAGGACACUGAAGGGACCAAAUACCAAAUUCUCCAAGUUAGCUAUUAUUUUCCACCAUGAAUUUAUAAUACACUGCUAUAUAAUGACAUCAUUAUUAUUGUAAGUGAUAUAGAAUGCUAUGUUUAGGGGGUUUCUUUUUUUAGAUUAGGAAAUAAUUUUUCAUUUUUUGUGUUUACACAGAUAACGUACUUCCUAGUCAUUUACAGUUAUUAAAUAAAAAUGCAUAAGGUGA